rnacentral:rRNA from 1 species
UACGGAGGGUGCAAGCGUUAUCCGGAUUCACUGGGUUUAAAGGGUGUGUAGGCGGGUAUUUAAGUCAGUGGUGAAAUCUCCGGGCUCAACCCGGAAACUGCCAUUGAUACUAUUUAUCUUGAAUAUUGUUGAGGUAGGCGGAAUACAUCAUGUAGCGGUGAAAUGCUUAGAUAUGAUGUAGAACACCGAUUGCGAAGGCAGCUUACUAAACAAUCAUUGACGCUGAGGCACGAAAGCGUGGGGAUCAAACAGG